GUCAAGAACGGGUGUGAGAGUAGGAAAGUUCACACUAUGACGGUAUCCAACCAGAAAGCCACGGCUAACUACGUCGCCAGCAGCCGACGGUAAUACGUAGGUGGCAAGCGUUAUCCGGUAUUUAGUUGGGACGUAAAGCGAGCGCAGGUCGUUUUAAGUCUGAUGUGAAAGCCCUCGGCUUAACCGAGGAAGUGCAUCGGAAGCUGGGAAACUUGAGUGCAGAAGAGGACAGUGGAACUCCAUGUGUAGCGGUGAAAUGCGUAGAUAUAUGGAAGAACACCAGUGGCGAAGGCGGCUGUCUGGUCUGUAACUG
rnacentral:rRNA from 1 species